GGCGCGCCUAACACACGCAAGUCGAACGAGCGAGAGAGAGCUUGCUUUCUCGAGCGAGUGGCGAACGGGUGAGUAACGCGUGAGGAACCUGCCUCAAAGAGGGGGACAACAGUUGGAAACGACUGCUAAUACCGCAUAAGCCCACGACCCGGCAUCGGGAAGAGGGGAAAGGAGCAAUCCGCUUUGAGAUGGCCUCGCGUCCGAUUAGCUAGUUGGUGAGGUAACGGCCCACCAAGGCGACGAUCGGUAGCCGGACUGAAAGGUUGAACGGCCACAUUGGGACUGAGACACGGCCCAGACUCCUACGGGAGGCAGCAGUGGGGAAUAUUGAACAAUGGGGGAAACCCUGAUGCAGCGACGCCGCAUGCCAGGAAGAAGGUCUUCGGAUUGAAAACUCCUGUUGUUGAGGAAGAUAAUGACGGUACUCAACAAGGAAGUGACGGCUAACUACAUGCCAGCAGCCGCGGUAAAACGUAGGUCACAAGCCGUUGUCCGGAAUUACUGGGUGUAAAGGGAGCGCAGGUGUCAAGACAAGUUGGAAUUGAAAUCCAUGGGCUCAACCCAUGAACUGCUUUUCACAGCUGUUUUUCUUGUGUAGUGCAGAGGUAGGCGGAAUUCCCGGUGUAGCGGUGGAAUGCGUAGAUAUCGGGAGGAACACCAGUGGCGAAGGCGGCCUACUGGGCACCAACUGACGCUGAGGCUCGAAAGUGUGGGUAGCAAACAGGAUUAGAUACCCUGGUAGUCCACACCGUAAACGAUGAUUACUAGGUGUUGGAGGAUUGACCCCUUCAGUGCCGCAGUUAACACAAUAAGUAAUCCACCUGGGGAGUACGACCGCAAGGUUGAAACUCAAGGGAAUUGACGGGGGCCCGCACAAGCAGUGGAGUAUGUGGUUUAAUUCGACGCAACGCGAAGAACCUUACCAAGUCUUGACAUCCCUUGACGAUGCUGGAAACAGUAUUUCUCUUCGGAGCAAGGAGACAGGUGGUGCAUGGUUGUCGUCAGCUCGUGUCGUGAGAUGUUGGGUUAAGUCCCGCAACGAGCGCAACCCUUAUGGUCAGUUACUACGCAAGAGGACUCUGGCCAGACUGCCGUUGACAAAACGGAGGAAGGUGGGGAUGACGUCAAAUCAUCAUGCCCUUUAUGACUUGGGCUACACACGUACUACAAUGGCGUUAAACAAAGAGAAGCAAGACCGCGAGGUGGAGCAAAACUCAGAAACAACGUCCCAGUUCGGACUGCAGGCUGCAACUCGCCUGCACGAAGUCGGAAUUGCUAGUAAUCGUGGAUCAGCAUGCCACGGUGAAUACGUUCCCGGGCCUUGUACACACCGCCCGUCACACCAUGAGAGCCGGGGGGACCCGAAGUCGGUAGUCUAACCGCAAGGAGGACGCCGCCGAAGGUAAAACUGGUGAUUGGGGUGAAGUC
rnacentral:rRNA from 1 species